rnacentral:rRNA from 1 species
UGCAACCUGAACUCMGGCGUGAUUACCCGCUGAACUUAAGCAUAUCAUUUAGCGGAGGAAAAGAAACUAA